rnacentral:rRNA from 1 species
GCAGUCGAACGAAGACCCUUGUACUCGUACGAGGAAUUCUUAGUGGCGAACGGGUGAGUAUCGCGUUGGUGACCUGCCCCGAAGUGGGGGACAACAGUCCGAAAGGACUGCUAAUACCCCAUGUGGCCGUGAUAAUUAGAAAGUCACGACUAAAGGAGUAAUCCGCUUCGGGAGGGGCCUGCGUCCCAUCAGCUAGUUGGUAAGGUAAUGGCUUACCAAGGCUACGACGGGUAGGGGACCUGAGAGGGUGGCCCCCCACACUGGUACUGAAACACGGACCAGACACCUACGGGUGGCAGCAGUAGGGAAUAUUGCACAAUGGGCGAAAGCCUGAUGCAGCAACACCGCGUGUGUGAUGAAGGCCUUCGGGUCGUAAAGCACUUUUAUGAGGGAAGAGGAAGGACGGUACCUCAUGAAUAAGGAUCGGCUAACUACGUGCCAGCAGCCGCGGUAACACGUAGGAUCCAAGCGUUAUCCGGAUUUACUGGGCGUAAAGCGCGUGUAGGCGGCUUAGUAAGUUGGAUGUGAAAGCCCCCGGCCCAACCGGGAGACGUCGUUCAAUACUGCUAGGCUUGAGGACGAUAGAGGAAGGUGGAAUUCCGGGUGUAGUGGUGAAAUGCGUAGAUAUCCGGAGGAACACCAGUGGCGAAGGCGGCCUUCUGGGUCGUUCCUGACGCUCAGACGCGAAAGCUAGGGUAGCGAACGGGAUUAGAAACCCCGGUAGUCCUAGCCGUAAACGAUGUCAACUUGGUGUUGGUGGUGUAAAAACCAUCAGUGCCGUAGCUAACGCGAUAAGUUGACCGCCUGGGGACUACGACCGCAAGGUUAAAACUCAAAGGAAUUGACGGGGCCCCGCACAAGCAGCGGAGCGUGUGGUUUAAUUCGAUGCUA